UUGACGGGGCCCGCACAAGCGGUGGAGCAUGUGGUUAAUCGACGCAACGCGAAGAACUUACCUAGGCUUGACAUCUGGGGAAUCCCAUGGAAACAUGGGAGUGCGGAGCAAUCCGAGCCCCAAGACAGGUGCUGCAUGGCUGUCGUCAGCUCGUGUCGUGAGAUGUUGGGUUAAGUCCCGCAACGAGCGCAACCCUUGUCUCUAGUUGCCAUCAUUUAGUUGGGCUACUCUAGAGAGACUGCCGGUGAUAAACCGGAGGAAGGUGGGGACGACGUCAAGUCCUCAUGGCCUUUAUGCCUAGGGCUACACACGUGCUACAAUGGAUCGUACAAGGGGUCGCGAACCCGCGAGGGGGAGCCAAUCCCAAAAACCGGUCCUCAGUUCGGAUUGGAGUCUGCAACUCGACUCCAUGAAGUUGGAAUCACUAGUAAUCGUGGAUCAGCAUGCCACGGUGAAUACGUUCCCGGGCCUU
rnacentral:rRNA from 1 species